rnacentral:rRNA from 1 species
UACGAAGGGGGCUAGCGUUGUUCGGAAUUACUGGGCGUAAAGCGCGCGUAGGCGGCGACCUUUGUCAGAGGUGAAAUCCCGAGGCUCAACUUCGGAAUUGCCUUUGAAACGGGGUUGCUUGAGUCCGAGAGAGGAUGGCGGAAUUCCUAGUGUAGAGGUGAAAUUCGUAGAUAUUAGGAAGAACACCGGUGGCGAAGGCGGCCAUCUGGCUCGGUACUGACGCUCAGGCGCGAAAGCGUGGGGAGCAAAC